rnacentral:rRNA from 1 species
GACGAACGCUGGCGGCGUGCCUAAUACAUGCAAGUCGAACGCACUCUCGUUUAGAUUGCAGGAGUUUGCUCCUGGUUGAUAAACAUUUGAGUGAGUGGCGGACGGGCUAGUAACACGUGGGUAACCUGCCCUAAAGUGGGGGACAACAUUUGGAAACAGAUGCUAAUACCGCAUAAAACCUAACACCGCAUGGUGUGGGGUUGAAAGAUGGUUUCGGCUUUCACUUUAGGAUGGAUCCGCGGUGCAUUAGCUAGUUGGUGAGGUAAAGGCUCACCAAGACCGCGAUGCAUAGCCGGCCUGAGAGGGUGAUCGGCCACACUGGGACUGAGACACGGCCCAGACUCCUACGGGAGGCAGCAGUAGGGAAUCUUCCACAAUGGGCGAAAGUCUGAUGGAGCAACGCCGCGUGAGUGAAGAAGGUUUUCGGAUCGUAAAACUCUGUUGUUGGGGAAGAAUGUAUCUGAUAGUAACUGAUCAGGUAGUGACGGUACCCAAACAGAAAGCCACGGCUAACUACGUG